AGAAACAAUGAAUACAUUAGAUAGGCAAGGCACCCAGACACUGGCAAAUAAAGAAAGCGACAAUCUUCUUGGAGCUAAAAAGAAAAGGGGGUUUACUUUGAGAAGAAAGAAAGGCAUCCCUGAACGAGAAACAUUUUCCCAGCUGUGAUCUCAGAAGGCGUGGGGUUGGGGAGGAGGAACAGAGGGGUCCCGGGGAGAGAACAUCGUUUACGGACCUUACCAUCGGAACCUCGAUUCAUAAAACAAAGCAAUCCAUGUAGGGGACCUGCAUAACUUCACCUGUUGGCAGGUUCACAGGCCUGUGCUGACAAACAUUCAUGAGGAUUCCAUAUGGAUACUCCUGCCCUCCUUUCCUGGAUUUUUCUCCUGAAGUUUCUUUUCAAUCACAUACUUUCUGAGUGAAGACCUUGGAAAUGUGAUCUUGACUUGCACCUCCUAUGGGCAGCCAGGAGUGUGUGAACUUGGAAGAAGGCUGUAAUCAACAAUUAAUUCACACUUCAGCUUUCCAAUAGCUGGAGUUGGAGUUUCCACCCAGGAAGUGGACCCCUCUGUGUGCUUCAGAGUUGUCAGUGACCUGAAAUGCCUACCUAUCUGCCUGGGCCUUGGAAUUAACGUGGACAUGAAGUAUGCAGCCAAGCUCCACUGUUUUUAGCAAGGAAAAUGGGCACAUCUAAUUUGGAUGCCACAAAAAGCAACCUGUCCUGUCUGAAGUCAUAGCCCUCUGUUUUAAACUACAGCAAGAGGAAGCAAUGGUAGCCAUUGUUAAGGCCUCAGAACUUCAGGAAGAUCCCAGAAUGGAAUUUCUAUGUGAGAUACAUUCCCAUCCUUUAUGUGUCCAUACUCUUACCUUUAAUGAGAGAGGAACAGAAAUGAGAUGUGGGUGGGACCCACUGUCUGUCUGUAACUGGUCUCACACUAAGCCAGAAGCGCCAUUCUUGCGUCUUUCUUUGCCUUCCUGGGCCUUUCUGUAGAUAAUCUUCUUUAUGUUGGGCCAGAGUUCUAGGCACCCAGCACUGGAGUCCACAUGCUGAUGCCAUGUGUGCUGUGCGAAGUGGUGACAUCAGGCACUUCUGCCAGUGUUCAUCAGACACUACUUGGCAAGGGAAACUGGGCAAUCUAUCAGAUUUGCCUCCAUGUUCACACUACUAUCUACUGAUUCUAUUAAAACUAACAGUAAAACUUUUAGUUUACUGCCCUCCAUUCCAGUUUGAUUAAGCCUUGAGGGUACCUCAUAAAGUUGCAUAGGUUAGUUGUCUCAUUUAAACCACCCCUGUGAAGCCAACCCUCAUUUAAACUUCCACGGAUCUUAAGAUUAAUAAACUUUAGUCCACAA